rnacentral:rRNA from 1 species
UACGUAGGGGGCUAGCGUUGUCCGGAUUUAUUGGGCGUAAAGAGCGUGUAGGUGGCCUGGUAGGUCUGCUGUGAAAACUCGAGGCUCAACCUCGAGACGUGGCGGCGAAACCAUCUGGCUAGAGUCCGGAAGAGGAGAGUGGAAUUCCUGGUGUAGCGGUGAAAUGCGCAGAUAUCAGGAAGAACACCCGUGGCGAAGGCGGCUCUCUGGGACGGUACUGACGCUGAGACGCGAAAGCGUGGGGAGCGAACAGG